rnacentral:lncRNA from 1 species
GUUCUUCGGCUAAGUACAGGCAUAUGUAAUUAUGGGCAUCAGUUUAUAAAAUAUGAAAAACAAAGUUCAAUCCUCAAAAAAUAGCUAAUAAAACAUCAUACAAACAUUUUGGCUAUGGUUCGCCCAUGGAAUUUUUGUUCUUUAAACACUAAAUACACACACAAAAUUCAACAAUAUAUAUAUUAACAAAACAAAUAACUGCCAUCUAGCUGUGGCACACCCUAUACAACUAUCUACCACAUGGGUAUUUAGACUAUCUACAUGGUCAAAUCAGUGGCAUCUAAUAGAUGGCACACUUCAAAUAAAUUAAUAUUCUUUGUACAUUUCUCUGUCAUUUCAAAAUAAAAGUUCCUUUAACCUGACUAAAAUGUAUUUAUAGCCCUGGAGCAUAAAUGUUUGUGAACAAAUCGUGUUAACCUUAAAGUGUAUUAUGUACCCCUGAUAUAUAUUACUGAUAUAUAUAUUACGUUUCAAUAUUUGAACAUUCUACAUGUAAUAAAUACAAUAUAUUAUAUAUUAAAAAUCUUCUCAUUUUUAAAAUAUUGGUUACAAAUUUUUAAAUUGAAAUGACAGAGGGGAAUGAACACUCCUCACCCCCUUAUUUUUGCGUAUCCCAUAUCAAGAAGUAAAACUUCCUAUUUAUAAAUAUUAAAUAGCACUCUUUGUCGUAUUGACACUAGCAAUUCAAAGCAGAGUUAAAAAUUCUGCAUUUCACCAAGCAUAUGAUACAUUUUAAAGAAAAAGCAAAUAAGUUAAAAAUUUAAUACUGAAUGAUCUAAUACCUACAUUUCUCUUUUUACAGGCAAAC